rnacentral:sRNA from 2 species
AUGUACAACUCAUACACUCGGCUCCUGUGCCACUCGGUUCCUGUGCGCCGUCCACGCCCACCUGACGACCGCUCGCUACGUUUUGUUAGCC